GUGGGGCCUCUGACAGCUCUAUCCACCUGUCAAAAUAGCCUCUAAGCCAAGCAACAUACUGUGUAGCCAUUUCAUCGGUCUCAGGUUUGGAUGUGCAGAAGUGUUCGUGAUAACCUUCUGCCGUAAAGCGAAAACGUUGCAGCAAAGCUAUUUUGACAUGUCAUACACUAAACAGCAAUGUGGAGACAGUCUACCAUACACGUUCAAUGCUCCCCCCUUGAGGCACAUGCUCAGUGCAAUGGCCCACUGCGAUUUAUCCCAGUCUUGGCUGGUGGCGACGCACUCAAAUCUUUUGAGGUAAGUGUCUAAAUCGUCUCGGGCAUCCUCAAACUGCGGGAGAAAGUUAUGCGGAUUUAUCGUUUAUGAAUGAACCGCUUGUGCAGUUUCAGGGGAUUCUCCCACCUGUGGUCUGUCCCCUCGGGCUGCGUCCAUUUCAGGAGCUUAAUGCGUAGCUGACGGCUGCGUCCCUCUGCUUCUGCUGGGGCUCGUUCAGACAUCGCACGCUCGGCAGCAAGCGGAUCACGCUCCUUAGUGGCCUCGCGCUCCACUGCCCUCUCAUCGCGAUGACGCUUUUCUGCGUCCAUUACCCACUCUCACAGUUCCGCCUCCGACAAGCUAGUGGAUAAUGGCGGGAACGCCUCCGACAAGAAUAGCUUCGGCCUGUCGCGCGGAUGCCAAUGUGUCACGGUAUAGAUUUUUUUCACCGUAGUCUGUUCUUGAACGUGGUCAAUACAGACCGAUUUAGGAAAGAAAAUACGAAGCGUAUUUCUCUGUCGCACACACACACACGUUUAUAUCAAUACGACUACAUACAACUUGUAACGAACACUACUAUGGAACGCUUCUAAGUAUAGAGUGUCUAACUAGUCUGCAAAUUACAGUUACGCCAUUAAAGUUCAAACGUUACCAUAUUAUUCAGUGUGGGUGUUGGAGGAGGUCACGGCUGGAAUGGUGCAGGCGUUGAGAGGGCUGCUGCUGAGUUACCCUGCUGGAGCCGGGCGGCGAGACGUGUCACGAGGUAGCAGGAACGUGGACCAGGGGGAAGUCCAGGAUCAUCGAGGCUGGGGUCUGUGCUUCGCUGGACACCUCGUAGAUAUACACCAGAGCUAGUGGUUGAGCCGUAGGCUCAGGAGCACCAGGCAUAGGCAGGAGCCCGGAUCCAAUGUCCAACAGGCUGCUUCUUUCACUGCUGCUGCCUUCUCCGCUUCCUCCCUCACAAUGGGUCCGCUCUUGCGUUCCACGCUCACGCCACGUGGUUCUCUGGAGAUCCUUCUUUUUCUUUUUUGCCUUUUUCGGGUGCUUUGCACGAUCAUGCUCGCCGUGCUCAUGGGCGACCUUAGCAAGCGAGUGCCAUAGCUAAGUGGGACACUACCGGAGUAUGUCGCAUAUAGCAGAAGCAGCGGAAGUCUCAGAAUGACCACUACAGAUGUUAAGUAAACGUGACUGUCGCUAGAUUGCUCGAAUGCUAAUCGCAUUGCCAUCGGCAGUCAUCGUGAGACGAGUUCUACCAUAAUUUUUUUUUCCCAUUGAAGAGCAGCACAUAUCCAAUGAACCAAGUUGGCACGAGAGGUUCAUUGAAAUGCGGCGCCUACCCAGUGUCACAGACAAAAGUUGGUGGGAAAAUAAUUGGAGAAUAAAUCCUGGGAAGUGCGUGAUAGAUCCAAAGCAUUGUGAUUGCAUCAAUAAAGAUAACCAACAGCACUGACAACCAAAUUAGGUGCGGUGCACCGGCCAAAAGUGUGAUGCAACAUUUAAUAAUGCUUUGGAGACACAUUAAAGCGGAUGUGAAACUGAAACUACACAGUGCAUUAAGAGUUGGGCUCCAACAUGCUCAACAGUGUGGUGCGCAUGUCACACUCCCUAGUUGAGACCAUUGAAACAAUUUUAACAUUCAGCAAAGCUUGACUCCGAAUGUUGGUAUACAGGCAUGAAUGUGUACUGUUACAUGUUUUAUUGUGUAUGUACAUAACACUAAUUUUUGUACCCACCCCAGCAAUGUCUUCUAAUAAAAAGUUAUUUGUGAAAAGGAAGUAAUAAACUAGUAAUGCAACAAAUAA